rnacentral:rRNA from 1 species
AACGAACGCUGGCGGCAUGCCUAACACAUGCAAGUCGAACGAGAUCUUCGGGUCUAGUGGCGCACGGGUGCGUAACGCGUGGGAAUCUGCCCUUUGGUUCGGAAUAACAGUUGGAAACGACUGCUAAUACCGGAUGAUGACGAAAGUCCAAAGAUUUAUCGCCAGAGGAUGAGCCCGCGUAGGAUUAGCUAGUUGGUGUGGUAAAGGCGCACCAAGGCGACGAUCCUUAGCUGGUGUGAGAGGAUGAUCAGCCACACUGGGACUGAGACACGGCCCAGACUCCUACGGGAGGCAGCAGUGGGGAAUAUUGGACAAUGGGCGAAAGCCUGAUCCAGCAAUGCCGCGUGAGUGAUGAAGGCCUUAGGGUUGUAAAGCUCUUUUACCCGAGAUGAUAAUGACAGUACCGGGAGAAUAAGCUCCGGCUAACUCCGUGCCAGCCGCCGCAGUAA